AGAGUUUGAUCCUGGCUCAGAGUGAACGCUGGCGGCGUGCCUAACACAUGCAAGUCGAACGAUGAUGGAGAGCUUGCUCUCCUGAUUAGUGGCGCACGGGUGAGUAUACCAUAGAUAAUGUACCCCUUAGUUCGGGAUAGCCACUGGAAACGGUGAUUAAUACCGGAUACUCCUUCUCAUUAUAAGAUGAGUCGGGAAAGUUUUUUCGCUAAGGGAUCAGUCUAUGUCCUAUCAGCUAGUUGGUGAGGUAAUGGCUCACCAAGGCUAUGACGGGUAUCUGGUUUGAGAGGAUGAUCAGACACACUGGAACUGAGACACGGUCCAGACUCCUACGGGAGGCAGCAGUGAGGAAUAUUGCACAAUGGAGGAAACUCUGAUGCAGCAACGCCGCGUGGAGGAUGACGCAUUUCGGUGUGUAAACUCCUUUUAAGAGGGAAGAUUAUGACGGUACCUCUUGAAUAAGCACCGGCUAACUCCGUGCCAGCAGCCGCGGU
rnacentral:rRNA from 1 species